CCUGGGGCCACAACUGCAGCCACACUGGUGACAAAGGUGGCAUUUCUAGGGGAGUGGAGAUGGCCAUCCUGCAUUCCUACAGGCUGGAAGCCACUCUUGGGGAGUCCAAGAUCAACAGAAACCUAUGAGGCUGCACGGGCACAGGAGGGCAUAGAGGAGCUAUCCCACGUUGAAGAUCAGGAAGGGCGGCGGUGAGGAGAUACCCCUUGUCCAAGGCGUGCCCCAAGGCCCAAGUCUCCCUGACCCCUACCCCACCGUCCCUGCGCUGGAUUGAAGGGGAAGUGACCUCUGAAAGCCCCUGAGGACCAAGGUGAUAGAUGUCAAAGAAGAGUUAACAGAGGAGCCCCGGGAAGCACCCCAGAAAGCUCCCAGCCUCCCAACACAGGAGAGCAGACCUAGGGCAGGGUGGGCCCUGCCCAGACUCGGCCCCCAAACUCCAGAUUCUCCUCAGCCAGAGCCGAUUCUGAAAGUUCAGACCUCAUAUCCAGCAUAAUAAACCUAGAUUUGGAUGACGAAGAAAUGUCACCUAUUGUUUUUCAUAAUGCAAAGUAAUAAAAACCAAACCUCCUCCUAAUCUUUGUAGCCAGAUCAGGGAGGUCCCCAGACCC